UGUCUGAAUAAAAUAGAUUAGGAAGAACAUUUUUUUAUGUACAUGUACAAAAAAUAAAGAUCCUCUUGGUCUUCUUUAGGGAAUGGUCAUUAUUUAUCAGCUGAGGGGGUCGGUUCAAAUUUUUCACAUAAAUGUUUUUGUUGGCAACCCCCCCAUCAUUCUUAAAAACCAUAUAAUGACCCCCUCCUAAGAACAGAGUUUGAAAAGUUUG
rnacentral:lncRNA from 1 species